rnacentral:tRNA from 1 species
GUGACUUAGUUGGUAAAGUACUUGCCUGACAUGUAUGAUGCUCUGGGUCCAAUCCCCAGC